AUAUUAUUAGGUUGCUGCAAAAGUAAUUGCAGUUUUUGCCAUUAAAGGUAAUGGUAAAAACUGCAAUUAAUUUUGUAUCAACUUAAUAUCU
rnacentral:miRNA from 10 species